AUGGAUGCGGAGCUGAUCGAGCACCUUGAGGCCAAAGUGAGUGCUGACAGCGCGAGAUUUCAGUCUCUCAUCGAUUUGUUCAUACCAACCAUCGACAGCGAGCACGGGAUAUGCUACAGCCAACCAGAGAAACUUCCAGGUAUCACACUGAGUGGCCUAAGGAAGCAUUUCUUCCAGCGCAAUUCCAGGGCAUUCAAAAGGGGCACGUGGACGCGUCACAAGAUACAGUCGGAGUGCGGCAUGCACGCGAUGUGGCACAAGACAGGCAAUACCUUGCCGGUGAUGGUCAACGGCCGGCAGACGGGCAGCAAAAAAGUUGUACUACCUUGUCGUCCGCAAGUUGGUAUUGUUGUUAACGAUCUUUUGGUCGAGCAAGUUUCAACUGGGCUGCAGACUGCCCAGGGUUGGUUCUAUUUUUAA
rnacentral:rRNA from 1 species